rnacentral:rRNA from 1 species
AUUGAACGCUGGCGGCAGGCCUAACACAUGCAAGUCGAGCGGAUGAGAGGAGCUUUCUCCUUGAUUUAGCGGCGGACGGGUGAGUAAUUCCUAGGAAUCUGCCUGGUAGUUGGGGAUAACGUUCCGAAAGGAACGCUAAUACCGCAUACGUCCUACUGGAGAAAGCAGGGGACCUUCGGGCCUUGCGCUAUCAGAUGAGCCUAGGUCGGAUUAGCUAGUUGGUGAGGUAAUGGCUCACCAAGGCGACGAUCCGUAACUGGUCUGAGAGGAUGAUCAGUCACACUGGAACUGAGACACGGUCCAGACUCCUACGGGAGGCAGCAGUGGGGAAUAUUGGACAAUGGGCGAAAGCCUGAUCCAGCCAUGCCGCGUGUGUGAAGAAGGUCUUCGGAUUGUAAAGCACUUUAAGUUGGGAGGAAGGACAGUAAGCUAAUACCUUGCUGUUUUGACGUUACCGAAAGAAUAAGCACCGGCUAACUUCGUG